UUGGGCGUAAGCGAGCGCAGGCGGUUACUUAAGUCUGAUGUGAAAGCCUUCGGCUUAACCGAAGAAGUGCAUCGGAAACUGGGUGACUUGAGUGCAGAAGAGGACAGUGGAACUCCAUGUGUAGCGGUGGAAUGCGUAGAUAUAUGGAAGAACACCAGUGGCGAAGGCGGCUGUCUGGUCUGCAACUGACGCUGAGGCUCGAAAGCAUGGGUAGCGAACAGGAUUAGAUACCCUGGUAGUCCAUGCCGUAAACGAUGAGUGCUAGGUGUUGGAGGGUUUCCGCCCUUCAGUGCCGGAGCUAACGCAUUAAGCACUCCGCCUGGGGAGUACGACCGCAAGGUUGAAACUCAAAGGAAUUGACGGGGGCCCGCACAAGCGGUGGAGCAUGUGGUUUAAUUCGAAGCUACGCGAAGAACCUUACCAGGUCUUGACAUCUUGCGCCAACCCUAGAGAUAGGGCGUUUCCUUCGGGAACGCAAUGACAGGUGGUGCAUGGUCGUCGUCAGCUCGUGUCGUGAGAUGUUGGGUUAAGUCCCGCAACGAGCGCAACCCUUGUUACUAGUUGCCAGCAUUAAGUUGGGCACUCUAGUGAGACUGCCGGUGACAAACCGGAGGAAGGUGGGGACGACGUCAGAUCAUCAUGCCCCUUAUGACCUGGGCUAC
rnacentral:rRNA from 1 species